GGUGCGGUGUAACCCGCCCUUUUUCCUCUAAAAACGUAUCGAUUAGAGAGAAGGUAGAGACUUGUGAGGGGCCUUCCGAAAGCACCGCCUGUUUACUAGAAAAAGGAACCCACUUGAUCAUUUUAAGGGCAGUAGCGUCCUUGAUCAGACUAUGGAGAGUGGAACUAGUACUCAAGCACAACAUCAAUGGAAGCAAAUGGAUUCCGAAGGGAAGAAGGUAGCAGUUCAUGAAGAAAUGAAGAGAAUGAACCAACUUCCUACAAACAGCACUUAUGCAACGCAUCGCCUGCGAGUCCUUAACAAAAUAUUGCAACUUAUAUCCAUUCAGAGAACUACGUCACAAGAUGCGGAGUUGGAGUUGCUUUUUGCUGGGCUUUCUCUGUGAACAAGAAUCCAACUUAUGUUUGCAGAGGAUGGAGCAACCUAAAAGAUCUUUGUGAGCUUUCCUAAGCUUCCAUUCUACGUCAUCCUUCAAUGAACUUCUGAUGCUUUUCUCCUCACUAUCUCAAUUGUGUAUGGUGGAAUUUCUCAUGCUUUGGAGCUCUCUUCAUGGCUCGUUACACUUACAAAUAAGUGCAUUCUUCCUUGCUGCAAACAUUGAAAAUGUCAAGUCUUGUACACUAUAUAAAAGUGAACGUAUGUUGGGUAUGCGGAGGUUUGUGGAAUAUCGUGGAUCGACAUGCUGUGUCUGCUACUGAAAUAUCGUGUAAUGGCAUGCUCUGUUGUAAGCUAGGCUUGGUGAGAGUGCUCUGCUAGUUCUUGUUUAAAAACAAUUGUCGACUCUUAGACUGGAAGCGUAUGUAACGAAUGCUAAUCACCUGUUUUCACUUUAUAAUCUUGCUAAUGGUAAUAUAGGGUGGUUACUAAUACUUAGAACC